rnacentral:rRNA from 1 species
AUAUAAUUAAGCGGAGGAAAAGAAACUAACAAGGAUUCCUUUAGUAACGGCGAGUGAACAAGGAACAGCCCAUCACCGAAUCCUUCUCGACCUCGGGUAAGGAGUUGUGGUGUAAAGGACAGUCUUUGCUAUAGUAUUGUCGGCCCAAGUUCUCUUGAAUGGGGCUUUACCCAGAGCGGGUGUCAGGCCUCUAGCGGCUGCACAAUACUGUAACUUUGAUUGUCCCGAGAGUCGGGUUGCUUGAGAUCGCAGUCCUAAGACGGGUGGUAAACUCCAUCCAAGGCUAAAUACCGUCGCGAGACCGAUAGCGCACAAGUA